rnacentral:tRNA from 1 species
GAGUAGUUAGUUUAAAUAAAACCUCUAAUUUCGGCUUAGACAAUCAUGCCUUAGCAUGACUACCCA